rnacentral:rRNA from 1 species
UACGGAGGGGGCGAGCGUUAUUCGGAAUUAUUGGGCGUAAAGGGCGCGUAGGCGGCUUGAUGUGUCACAGGUGAAAUCCCUCGGCUCAACUGAGGAACUGCCUUUGAAACUGUCUGGCUUGAGGCCGGGAGAGGGUAGCGGAAUUCCCAGUGUAGCGGUGAAAUGCGUAGAUACUGGGAGGAACACCGGUGGCGAAGGCGGCUACCUGGACCGGUUCUGACGCUGAUGCGCGAAAGCGUGGGUAGCAAACAGG